rnacentral:rRNA from 1 species
GACGAACGCUGGCGGCGUGCUUAACACAUGCAAGUCGAGCGGUAAGGCCCUUUCGGGGGUACACGAGCGGCGAACGGGUGAGUAACACGUGGGUGACCUGCCCUUAGCUCUGGGAUAAGCCUGGGAAACUGGGUCUAAUACCGGAUAUGACUCCAUGACGCAUGUUGUGGGGUGGAAAGCCUUGUGCGGCUAGGGGAUGGGCCCGCGGCCUAUCAGCUUGUUGGUGGGGUGAUGGCCUACCAAGGCGACGACGGGUAGCCGGCCUGAGAGGGCGACCGGCCACACUGGGACUGAGACACGGCCCAGACUCCUACGGGAGGCAGCAGUGGGGAAUCUUGCGCAAUGGGCGAAAGCCUGACGCAGCGACGCCGCGUGGGGAUGACGGCCUCGGUG